rnacentral:miRNA from 1 species
CCAGCCCGGGCUGAGUUUCAGCCCGGGCUGAAAUUUCAGUCCGGUUAAUGAGCUACCCGGGUUGAAAUUUCAGCCCGGGCUGAAACUCAGCUCGGCAUG